rnacentral:lncRNA from 1 species
GUGGGAUGGUUGAAUCAGAGUGCGACUGUGUGUGUCUGGAAGUGACCUCAACUUAAUCAGACCUCAACUCAAUCAACUAGGAAACUUCUAGGGCAGGGCAACCUAUUCCAGUCCCAGUUCUUGUAGUAAUUUGACCAUAGUGAAUCCACAACUGGGUUCAUUUAAUACUCCAAAAUUCAUGGUUUGACCACAGUUUUAUUUUGGUGGUGACUAAACUAACCCCACCUCCGGGAGAUGAACUGACAGUACCUUUGGGCAUCCUAAGCAUGCUCUGUCAAUAGAGGCCAUUGAGGACGGCUGUGGUGGCUCACGUGUGUAAUCUCAGCACUUUGGGAGGUCAAGGUGGGAGGAUGGCUUGAGGCCAGGAGCUAUGACUGCACACCGCACUCCAGCCUGGGCACCAGAGUGAGUCUCUGUCUUUAUUAAAAAUAAAUCAGUAAAUAAAAAAAUAAGGGCCGUUGAAUUAUUAUAGACUGAACUGUAAUCUUCUGUUUUUCUCGGAAUUGCAUUCUUCUGUCAAAUUCUGAAUAUUCUAACCAAAGUUUUCAUUUUCUAGGAUAAAACAACAGUCACCAUCAAGGAGAUAACAUCAUGCAGGACAGCUGGGAGGCUGAUGCUGAUGUGCACAGCAGAUAUGAAGUAGGCACCGUCAAGGGCAAGGUGAAGGGGCCCUGGCAGUGCCUAACACAGAUGUGUUUUGAGGAAUGUCUUCUCAGUCAUAAAACAGGCACCUGGCAUUAUAGAUGACAGAUUCAUAUAUAAAACAAAUGGGUACAUAAAUGCUCUCUGAGGCUGGCCUCAUUAUCGAGGAUUUAAACUAAGUGAGAUGAACAGAUGUUUACAACAUUUUACUUUCCACAGUUUCCGCAGCACUUAAGCUGCUGCGAUACUUGCUAUUUAAUUUUCCCUUUAUUCACUAACAACUCAGGAGCUCUCUGCUGUUUUAUCCUACCAUUGUUAUCUUCUUUUAGAAUGUAAAACAGUUUUAAUAGUAUGAUGAAUGGGCUUUUCCAGUUGUUAUAGAAUUGGUGACCAAGGCCCAAAGCAGGUGACAAAAAAGAGCUAAGCAACCAAGAUGUAUAAAGGCAGCUUAGUGGCCAGUGGCUGAAAAGGCACUACUGUCAGCAGUCCACUGCCUCAGCAGGUGCCCUUCAUCCAUCUGUCUAAGACUGUUGUGAGCGUAGUGCUACUGCCGGAAGGACUUGCCACAUGGAGAGUUACGUGUUCAUUCACAAGAGUCCCCUUUGCCUUAGCUAAGACAGAGAGGGCUCAAAGAGAACCACUCCUAAAGACUGAGUGUGAGUACACGUCAAGGAGACUGGCAUCUCAUUCCAUCAGACUUGUUGAUUUGCCUUGUGCUUAUCUGAGAAGGAGACAGAUGGCAGACGGAAACAGAAGUAUCGGAGGCGGCCUAUUUCUCACCGUUUGGCACGGCGAGGAUGCAUGCGCUUUCUGUGGGUCAAGUGAUAUUACAGAAAGCUGUCAGGUUUGCGUCUUUUGGCUGCUGCUCCACCCCAAAGGAAACAAUGUUGGCCAGAGAAGCAGCAUCAGAAGAUGAAGAAGGCAGAGGAGUGAAAGAGAAUGGAACUUGUCCCUUUCCCCCUGCAGGCCUCUCAAGUGAGCUGACGAGGGGAAGAAACGAUGAAUAAGUUCUGCUUUGUUGUCUGAUCUGCUUUCUUACACUGUAUAGUAUGGUGGAA